AUAUUUUAAAUAUUAAUUAUCAUUAAAAAAUUAAUCUACGUGCAAUAAUUUUCUAUAGAUAUAUUCGUUAAGCAGUGUAUAAAAUCCAUCAUUAACCUAUUUAAUUAUUUUUCUUGUUAUAAUAUUGUAGAAAGCCAUCCUUGCACCCUAUUGGAACAUCAAUACAAGGUCUAGGCCUGGGGCUUGGGGCGGUCGCCCAGUUUGACCUGCCCCAGGGCCGGCCCUGU
rnacentral:lncRNA from 1 species